GUUUAACACAGUUGGGUAGAGUGUGGUGCUGAUAAUGCAAAGGUCACAGGUUCAAUCCCUAUAUAGGACA